rnacentral:sRNA from 1 species
AUGUUAAAUGUUACGGUCUCGAGGACCAG